UACGAAGGGGGCGAGCGUUGUUCGGAUUUACUGGGCGUAAAGGGCGCGUAGGCGGCCUUGUCAGUCAGGCGUGAAAGCCCCGGGCUCAACCUGGGAACGGCGCUUGGGACGGCGAGGCUGGAGUUCGGGAGAGGAGAGUGGAAUUCCCAGUGUAGAGGUGAAAUUCGUAGAUAUUGGGAAGAACACCGGUGGCGAAGGCGGCUCUCUGGACCGACACUGACGCUGAGGCGCGAAAGCCAGGGGAGCAAACGGG
rnacentral:rRNA from 1 species